rnacentral:lncRNA from 1 species
CAUGAUUUGGUACUGCAAUCUUCCAAUUAGAUAGUGCAGGGGACUCAGGAAUUAUGAUGUUGCCCCCGUGCCUCUAGUGCUGGAUGUGAAUGCUUUAGGCUGGGGCUUGGUUGAUGGAUCUACAGGAACGCAUAAUCUCUUUGUCCAAUUUUGAUUAAUUUUUACAAUUGUUUGUUUGGCUAAUGGUGAUGUAUUGUACAUGCUAGUAAUUAUGUAUCACCUCUUGGUUUAUCAAUACUUAGUGUUUGUACUGGGCUUCACAAGGAUUAUGUCUGUG